rnacentral:rRNA from 1 species
GACAAUAAAUCACAAUGCGGAACUUUUUAGUUUUGCAAUUGGAUUGAGAACAAUGUACAAAUGUUAUCGAUAAACAAUUGGAGGGCAAGUCUGGUGCCAGCAGCCGCGGUAAUUCCAGCUCCAAUAGCGUAUAUUAACGUUGUUGCAGUUAAAAAGCUCGUAGUUGAAAUGUGGGAUGAAUGUUGUAAUGAAUCUUUGUAUUUAAUUAGAAUAUGAAUCCCCUCUCCAAUUUAUUAUUAUGGGUAUUAAUUUAUUUGUAAUAAGAAUUGGUCAUUUACUGUGAGAAAAUUAGAGUGUUCAAAGCAGGCAUUUGCUUGAAUAGAUUAGCAUGGAAUAAUAAUAAAAGGCUUUUAUGUACAUUAAUUGGUUUGGUCGUAGAAGCAAGAUUAAAAGGAACAGUUGGGGGUAUUCAUAUUCAAUAGUUAGAGGUGAAAUUCUCGGAUUUAUGGAAGAUGAACAAGUGCGAAAGCAA